GAAAAGUUAAAUCUGACGUCCUCCAUCUUUCUGCUUUUUAUUUUUCUGCCCAUUCAGUUUCUGUUAUUCAGAGGAUGGUGAAAUGUGUGGCUGGUCGUGCGGUGAGCAGCAGUCGUUGUCCAGUGCUUUAUGCUUAAGUGGGGAUUCCAUCAAAGAGCAGUGAGGAAGAGCGAGCAGAAAACGUAGAGACCUUUGACUGAGUAUUCAACUCAUCUCUGACUUAUCCACACAGAGAGACAUUCUCAUAGCAAAGAUUUAACAAGCCAGACUCUGCUCACACUGCUGCAAAUGUAACGGCAUCAAAUAUUCAUAUUUCUUUGAGUGCUGAAUGAAUGGAGGACCUAGAUGAGAGUGAGCAAGAAAAAGAGAGAAACUUCCAAAGAGCAGCUCUCAAAAGCUUGUCGAGAACGACCAGUGAGCUAAUCGAAAGGCCUUGCAUUUCUGGAAAUAACGUGAAACAAGAGCAAAAGAACUUUGUUCAGCUGCUGUUACUCACAGGUGAGGACACGUGCGAGCUGCAUCGAGGUGGAGGCUGUGGUGAAGCAGAUCUGUGACCUGGUGGAGAGGCAGGCCCAGCUGAGGGAGCGAGAAACAUCCCGGGCUGACGCUCACAAGUCCGGGGUAAGUAGACAGUGUGAUACUAACACUCCCACCACCUCUAAUCCAUGUGUACCCCAAACGGAAGAUGCGAGCUAGGCCUGGGCGACGACCUCUCCCCCACCAGUCUUCGAGAACUCCACCCGGAACCGCUUCACUCUCCUCCACGAGACGGAACGUGAUACUGCGAACAUUGGAGAUGUCCGUGCUACGUUAACUGAAGGUAAUGUGCACACUCACUGUUUCCCUGGUCCUCGUGUUCACGAUGUUUCUGCACAGAUACCCGCGAUCCUGAAGGGUGACGAGAGCAUCAGUGCGGUUGUGCUGCACGUGGGCGUGAACGACACCAAGCUGUGGCAUUCGGAAACACUGAAGAUGGACUUCAGGAGUCUGAUCGAGACGGUGCGCAGCACAUCGAUCCGUGACGAGAAUCAUAGUGUCAGGACCGCUUCCCACAUAUUGAUGAGUACACGAAAGGUUCAGUAGACUUUUUGCUUUAAACAAAUGGUUAUUUUCAUGGUGUAAAGAACAGAAACUGCUCUUUGUUAAUAAUUGGAAUCUUUUCUGGGAAUGUCCUAGGCUUUUUCGUGCUGAUGGCCUGCACCCCAGCAGAGUUGGAGCAGAACUCCUGUCGGACAACAUCUCCAGGACGCUACGCUCCAUAUGAUUAGUUAGCCAAUUCUCAAAUAACUGCUAUAAUGGCUUUUGUUCUACCCACUUAAAUGAUAGAAGUACUUGUGCAGUCCAAUCUAUAAAGACUUUGUCUUUAUAGUGAGGUCGAAAAAUUAAUUGAAUGCAGGAUCUAGAAAAAAACGUAUCGUGAUUAAACCAGAAAACUGCUAAAUAAAUGGACAAAAUCAAUUGUUAAAGUUUGGGCUCCUAAACAUUUGAUCACUCGUACCCAAAGCAGUUAUUGUAAAUGGAAAGAUAACAGAUAAUAGAUUUGAUGUACUCUGCUUGACUAAAACCUGGCUAAAACCAAAUGAUUACAGUGGUCUAAAUGAGUCUACUCCACCAAGCUACUGUAAUAAGCAUGAGCCCCGUCAGAUUGGUCAUGGCAGCAUUGUUGCAACAAAAUAUAGUGAUAUUCUCAGUGUAACUCAGAAAACAGGAUACAGGUUUAAUAGUCUGAGAUUUUAACAUUCACGUUGAUAAUACAAAUGAUGCAUUAGGACUUGAAUUUACUGACCUAAUAAACUCUUUUGGAGUCAAGCAAAACGUCACAGAGCCCACUCAUCAUUUUAAUCAUAUGCUACAUUUAAUUAUAUCGCAUGGAAUUGAUCUAAUUGAUAUAGAUAUCUUGCAUGCUGCAUAUUACUGAUAUUAAUUAUAUGGCUCCGCAUUAUCGUCCAGGAAGAACCAGACGCCACCCGAUCUAAAUAUUCCCAGUUUAAUAGUAAUGACUUUAAUUGCUUCACUGAUAAAAUAGAUAAAAUCAGAAAUACAAUAACAAAUGUAGAUUCUACAGCUAUUAGAUCCUGCACCCACUAAAUUACUGAAAGAGUUGUUACCUGUACCAGAAGAACUGCUUCUCAAUUUUAUUAA
rnacentral:lncRNA from 1 species